UACGGAGGGUGCAAACGUUGCUCGGAGUCAUUGGGCGUAAAGCGCACGUAGGCGGCUCAGCAAGUCGGGUGUGAAAGCCCUCGGCUCAACCGAGGAAGUGCAUUCGAAACUACUGAGCUUGAAUACUGGAGAGGAUCGCGGAAUUCCCGGUGUAGAGGUGAAAUUCGUAGAUAUUGGGAAGAACACCGGUGGCGAAGGCGGCGACCUGGUCCGAUACUGACGCUGAGGCGCGAAAGCGUGGGGAGCAAACAGG
rnacentral:rRNA from 1 species